UACGUAGGGGGGCGAGCGUUGUCCGGAUUCAUUGGGCGUAAAGAGCUCGUAGGCGGUUCGGUAAGUCAGGUGUGAAAUCUCCACGCUCAACGUGGAGGGGCCACCUGAUACUGCCGUGACUCGAGUCCGGUAGGGGAGUGUGGAAUUCCCGGUGUAGCGGUGAAAUGCGCAGAUAUCGGGAAGAACACCCGUGGCUAAGGCGGCUCUCUAGUACGGUACUGACGCUGAGACGCGAAAGCGUGGGGAGCGAACAGG
rnacentral:rRNA from 1 species